UACGAAGGGGGCUAGCGUUGCUCGGAAUCACUGGGCGUAAAGCGCACGUAGGCGGAUUGUUAAGUCAGGGGUGAAAUCCUGGAGCUCAACUCCAGAACUGCCUUUGAUACUGUCAAGCUCGAGUCCGGGAGAGGUGAGUGGAACUGCGAGUGUAGAGGUGAAAUUCGUAGAUAUUCGACAAGAACACCAGUGGCGAAGGCGGCUCACUGGCCCGGUACUGACGCUGAGACGCGAAAGCGUGGGGAGCGAACAGG
rnacentral:rRNA from 1 species